GCUUUGGUACAAGGUCAGUUGACACGCAGUUGACAAACUUGUUAGAUUUCUUAAUUUUUUUUUUUAUUUACUUUUUUUAACUGCUCAUGUUGAAUAAACCUUAAGUUGGUUCGACAAAGUGUCCUGAUACAUGCUCAAUCAUCAAGGUAAGGAAAUCCCCCCAAAAUGGACUUCUUUAAUCUUCAGCGGCCUGAAGAAGACACUUGGAUGAGUGAUGAAACGUUUCUCCAACUGAAAAAACUACGCCCAGAUGAACAGAAUCAACUUUUUGGGACUUAAUCAGAUUCCUUUUGACCCACAGAAAGAGCAGAUGGAUUAUACCAAGGUGAUUAUACCACCUCACCAUCCUGAAGAUCAGAAGAGUGUUUGAGGAUUUAACAGAUCUCUUAAGAACAAAAGCCAGAAAAAAAUCACAGCUGAGUCUGGACAGGAUGUCACUCUGACAUGUCGAGCUCCAAAUAACAACAUAGUUGUAGAGUGGAGCAGAGCUGACCUGGGAGAUGAAUAUGUGCUUUUGUACCGUGAUGGUCACUUUCACUCAGACAACCAGCAUCCAUCAUUUAAGAACCGGGUGGAUCUGCAGGACAGACAGAUGAAGGAUGGAGACGUGUCUUUGAUUCUGAAGGAUGUGACCAUUAAUGAUACAGGAAUUUACAGAUGUCGUAUUGUUGAGGGAGUCAGACAACAUAUGAAGCUCAUCAACAACAUCACCCUGAGUGUUGUUGUUCCUCCAAGUCAGACAGGAGGAGACACAGAGGAUGGAGGGAAGGAGGCAGGAGGGAAGGAGGAUGGAUGUGUUGGACUGAUAGUUGCUCUGCCUGUCUCUGCUGUGCUUCUUGUUGCUGUUGUUGUUGGGUAUUGGAUCUACCAAAAACAUAAACAACAGCAGAGUCAGGAUUCAUUCCAGCCUGCUGUUGAACUUCAGCCUGUUUGAAAUGUCUCAGAGUUUUUCUCCUGCUGCUGUUCAGACUCUCAGUGUUGUCAGUGAACAUUCAGGUACAGACAGAUGAUCUGAUCAUCCAGCAGACAGACAUCAAACUCGUCCAGAUUUUCAUCAAACAUGUUCAGCCUGUGUUAGUGUGUCUCUGUGCUGUCUGUCAGAUACUCUGUGAACUGCAGUGUUUGUUCAUCUUCACAGUUUUUAUGGGAUUUGUUGACGAGGUGAAAAAUACAUUUACAGAAUGUCAUUGGUUCAUUCAACUGAGUGUUAAUAUCAGAAUAAUGACUAAUGACAGAAUCACUGGGCCUCAUUCAUAAACUGUGUGUACGGAUGUUUCACACAAAUCUGAUAUUCAUCAAUAUUUUUGUACUUGACACCAAUUUAGAAAUGCCUCACUGCACGAGUCACAUGUUUCCUUCCUCUGAUCUAUGAAGCUUUAUUUAACUGUUCUUUCCAUGAGAAAGACGCUUCAGCCUGUUUGUUACUGGAGGUUAAUUAUUUGCUGUUUUCUAUUCAGCUGACCAUUUAUUCUUUUUAUCUGCUUUUGGUUAGAGGCUCUUGUAAAGAGCCGCUCGCGUUCUGUGAUUAAUGUGCUUGUUAGUUCCUAAUAAAGUUCAACUUCAACUUCA